rnacentral:rRNA from 1 species
AGAGUUUGAUCCUGGCUCAGGAUAAACGCUGGCGGCGUGCCUGACACAUGCAAGUCGAACGUCCUUUUCUUCGGAAGAGGGAGUGGCGGACGGGUGAGUAACACGUGGGAAUCUACCUUUUAGCGAGGAAUACCGGCGAGAAAUCGCUGACAAUACCGCAUAAGCUCGGAGACGAGUAAAGCUCCUUUUCGGAGGGGCGC